rnacentral:rRNA from 1 species
UGUGCCCUACGGGACGCAGCAGUGGGGAAUUUUGCGCAAUGGGGGAAACCCUGACGCAGCAACGCCGCGUGCGGGAUGACGGCCCUCGGGUUGUAAACCGCUUUCAGCAGGGAAGAUAUUGACGGUACCUGCAGAAGAAGCUCCGGCUAACUACGUGCCAGCAGCCGCGGUAAUACGUAGGGAGCGAGCGUUAUCCGGAUUCAUUGGGCGUAAAGCGCGCGUAGGCGGCUGCCUAAGCGGAACCUCUAACCCCGGGGCUCAACCUCGGGCCGGGUUCCGAACUGAGCGGCUCGGGGGCGGGGAGG